GCCAAUGUGUACAAGAUUCUUCUGUGUCAUUCAGAGUAAUGAGAUCCUGUCACCGCUUCUUCCUGAACUGCAGUCAUUGACAAUGUAUUUGCAUAUUCAUUUGGGAGCACUUUGAUCUAAAAACCAAUCAUCGGAGAAGUCAGUCUAAUGUCUGAGAAUUCUUCUGGCAGUCAUUCUACACCAUUCUACACAGGACUGAGUCACCCUGCAAAGGACUGCACAGUACUCUCCUGGCAGGUAGAACCAGAAGGUGGAGAACCAAGCAGGAAAUAAAUAGAAAGAAUGAAAAGACCAACUAGGGAUUUAAGGAUUUGGGCUGCCAAUUUUACAGCCUAACAACAAUGAAAAUAAUUAAAAUGGCAGUGACCAAAACAGUCAAGAUAUUGACAAUCGCCAGUGAAUUCAGCAACUUAAAUAAAAUCAGCAAUGGAUGAGAUUUAAGAAUUCCAAGAAGUGAUGAAGACCCACUGCUUCCAGCCUCAAGGAUUUUGCAAUCUUCUCUUCACUUCAUCAAGGACAUCAGUGCCACGUCGCCUAAAUGCAGAAUUUAAUAACCCAAUAGUCUGCCUCCAAGAGAAAAUAAGCUGAAACUCUACGCAGGUGAAGAAGAUAUGGAAGCCAAAUAAAAUGCAUUGUUUUUGUACACAGUUCCAGAGCUAAUGGCAGAUUGAGAAAGUUAACCAUUGCCUGCCCCUCUUAUAACUAGUAUUUCCACUGAGAUGGGUUUUUUUGGAUUCCAUUUCACCCCUUUUCACCUCUCACCUCUAGAUUAACCCUGCUAAAUUCUUCUUUUCUAUGAUGUCUUAUAUUUCAACCUGCUUGUGCCUUGUGGGAUUAAAAGCUAAAUACUCUUUAACAAGAGUAAUCCCCUAAGUGGACAAUGUUUCUGAGACAGCGAGGCAUUUGAUCACAACGGAAAGAAGGCAAAGCAGAGAAAAGGUAUGAAAGGGAAGACAGGUUUCAAGAUUUGCGCCUUAGUAAUAAUUGCUUGCAAAGGGGCUUUCCAAGCCAAUAUUUGCAUGAAAACAGGCCCAUUCUUAAUUCCCAAGAAUAAGCUUAUUUUUCCCUCUUCCUCUGAGAGACCACAUUGCCCCAAGGAACUGAACGCCAACAAAAGAGGACUUCUACUUGACAUUUCUGUUUCUGCUCC